UGUGACUGCGUACCUUUUGUAUAAUGGGUCAGCGACUUAUAUUCAGUGGCAAGGUUAACCAUCUAGGGGAGCCGUAGGGAAACCGAGUCUUAACUGGGCGUUCAGUCUCUGGAUAUAGACCCGAAACCAGGUGAUCUAGCCAUGGGCAGGUUGAAGGUUGAGUAACAUCAACUGGAGGACCGAACCGACUAAUGUUGAAAAAUUAGCGGAUGACUUGUGGCUAGGGGUGAAAGGCCAAUCAAACCUGGAGAUAGCUGGUUCUCCCCGAAAGCUAUUUAGGUAGCGCCUCGGACGAAUACUACUGGGGGUAGAGCACUGUUAAGGC
rnacentral:rRNA from 1 species